GCGGGGACCUGCCGGGAACCGGCGGCUGGACCAGUUUCCAUUGCUCCCGGACCGGAUGCAACCCCGUGACUCGGGCGGAGGCAGGAGAAACGCACGCCCUGGGCGCAUCUCUGUGUCCUCCAGGGCGACACUGGCUUUGGCAAUGAUACGACUGGAGGCUCUAGGUCAGCGGUCACCGGGCGUGCGACUUCCGGCUGCUCCAUCAGGCGAGCGGGCGGGGCAGCAGCGAAUCAGCUGACAGGUUCUGGAGAAGCUUCCAGCCGGCUGCUCUGUUGUUCUCUGAAUGCAGACGGUGGUGGAGCCCUGUCUUGGCCCGCAGCCGUUAGGAUAUUUCUCAGGGAAAGCCCUUGGACCAAGAAGUCUGUUUUUUCGUUGGAAACUAUGAGACUCUCUGCAAAAACAAAGGAAUUUGGAUUCUGUUCAGGAAAAAUGUAACCUACAAACAAAUAGCCUUGGAAAAUCUGUGCCUCCCCCUCGGUGCCUGGGUCAGGCACAGGGACAGCCCCACCCCCGAGCUGCUUUCGAGCUGGAGGCCACCUCCUUUUUCCUCUUCUGUGUGUUGUCUCUGGCUGCCCAGAGGGCAGUGCCUCCUCUCCAUGCCUUCCCCUGCCCUGCCGCCCAGGGCCCCUGUCUCUGCAGUGCCCUUGAUCUGGUUGGAAUGCUCUUCCCUUCCCUCGCUGCAACCCUUCCUCAUUCUUUAAGACCCAGUUCCAAUGUCUCCCCUCCGGUUCUGAGUUCCCCAGCAUCCUCUCAGGAUGAAUUCAAGAAAGGAAGAGUGGAACAUUUAGCAUGUCUCCGUUGGUCUCCUGGGACCGCCGUAACACAUCACCACGCAUUCCUGCUGGCUUGGAGCAAUAGGAAUUUCUUCUGUCACAGUUCUGGAGCCUAGAAGUCCAAAACCAAGUUGUGAGCAGGGCCAUGCUCCCUCUGAAGGCUCUCGGGGAGAGUCCUCGCUGUCUCUCCCAGCCUCUGGAGGUGGCCGUAGUCCUUAGUGUCCUCGACUUGCAGCUCUAGCAUCUAACUUCUGCCCCCAUCUUCCCAGGGUUUUCUCCCUCUGUGUCUUGACUUUGUCUCCAUCUGCGCAUAUGUCUCCUCUGUUUUCCCUUCUUGUGAGGAGUUAGUUUUCCAAAUCUACAAUUUUCCUUUCAGUAUAACUUCAUCUUAAUUGUGUCUGCUAUGAC
rnacentral:lncRNA from 1 species